UGUUUGCUCAAGAUGUUUUGGCCAUUCCUGUUACCACUGUGCCAUCAGAGUCUGCAUUUUCAAUUGGGGGGCGUAUUCUUGAUCCAUUUCGAAGCUCAUUACUACCAAAGACAGUGGAGGGUCUAAUAUGUUUGAAGAAUUGGUAUAGUGAAAGCAACCAACCAAUUAUUGUCAAGGAAUACAUGGAUGAAGAAGAAUUACUAAAUACUUCUGAACAACUUGAAAAUGAUAUUAUUGCUACUCCUAGCGAGCAUCCUAAAUGAUAUAUAGCGUUGUUGCAAGUUUGAAAUGGUUUCAUUAGAGAUUAAGAGUUGCAUUUCAUUUGGAGCCAACUUUUGAAGUCACUUUUGUUUUAAUUAUGGAGACUUUAUGAAUUAUUAUGAACUUAGAUUGUGUUAUGGACUUAAAUUAUGGACUUUUUUUUUGGAUUGUUAUGAACUUGUAUGGACUUUUUAAGGACCUUUUCUAGAUUGUUAUGGAAUA